ensembl:lncRNA
GGAUUUAGUUACUCCCUAGAGCUCCCAAGAAAGUUUGGUGACAGAACUGAGAACGUAUCAUCAGCCCAAGGCUGGUACCGGUUCAGUGAACAUUUACUGAGGACCCACCACGUGCCCGCCACUGUCCCGGUGACAGCAAGGACUGGCUUCCUAAGCGCCGGCCACCUUUAUUUACCUUCUGGCUCUGGACUCAUCAAGGGGAGUAGAAAUCAGUUGUCAGAGCUCAAAGGACACUUAAAUGCCAUCUUCCUGGGUGGGCAAGCUGAGGCCUGGAGAGGGUGCAAAUAACGUGCCCAGGGUCACGCGGCUGCUCCCGUCCAAAAUCGUGCUCCUUUUGAUGUUCAACAUGACCGUAUCCGUAAGUAGGAGAUGGAAUAAAAAUGCCUCCUUUGCAAUAAAAAUGUCCCAAUGUCUUCUACACAAUGAACAACUGUGUCACUGCUCUCAGGCGAACGUCAGUCCUGAGCUCCCUUCUCCGGGGUCUCCUUUAGGUCAAGUUUUAUAUCAGCUCCUAGGCGGCCCGGAGAGGCCUCCUUCUGUUUUGCUUCCAGCCUGGAAGGAAAAGAACCGGUUACUGACGUCGCGCCCAGCGCGCCCCCUGCCGACCGUUAGUGGGAUCCAUCUUCCAGAACUCCGAUCCGGGCUCAGGCUGAACCCGGGUCUUGCAGAGCCUCUAGAUGGGCAGGGCUGAGGGCCAGCCGUCUGCCCUUGAGGGUGUGAGAGUGGCCAUGGGACUUGACCUGUAGCCUCUGCAACGCGCGCUUUUUGAUUUGGGUCGUAUGUUCAUUUGAGGAGGGCUUAGGCGACAUGCCCCAUCGCCCCCCUCCCCCAGCACUCCACACCAUCACCGACUCGUUCCUUCAAUGUCACUUAGCUAAAUGUAGUAUUUAUCAUGUCCUGCCGUGUGCAGGCAUCGUGCUCAGAGCCGGAGGAAAUGUGGAGAUUAACAAGAUCUUUCUGUCUAUUCACAAAGACGAAAGUACCGCGUGCUGUUGGGUUCAACCUGUGGAGCCCCUAACACGUGGGGAGGAGCGUGCCCUGCAUUGUGUAAAGGCAGUAACGGUCAGCAGCCUUGACCGUGAGACAGGUGCACAACACGGCUCAGGGUGCGUCCUCCAUAAAUGUCAGGGGUCAUCAUCUUUACCACCGGCCAGGAUAGACGGACUCACUGAAGGUCCCCGAGUGGGAGAUAAAGGGUGGGAUAAAGGUGUCUGUAUCUGCUUUGGCUCAAAUGCUUCUUCUUCUCUCUUAGCGCACCUCUGGCGCUGGAAAAAAGAACUUGGGCUUGAAUGGCUUCCCUCUCUUCCUGGAAAGGCUGGACGUCUUGGGUCUUCAAAUCUGCUAAUGUGGCCUCUGGGAAGGAGACGAGGAGGUGACAUUUCCCUGAACCCUCUGUCAAGGAGUACCUCUGAGGGAUAAGUUUUCGGAGUUGGAGAUAGAGUCCCCAUGGCCUUGUGGGGACCCUGUACGGCCAACCAAGAUGGCAGCUGUCCUUGGUGCUUCUGAAAAUCAGCCCCGGCCAUGCGGAGCCGCCUGGAGAGCCAAGCUGGACGGAGCCCACUGCCGGGGAAGAGAAGGCCAGGUGGUUUCCUAGCAAUGAUGCCUGAGCUGUGCGCUCCAGACGGGGUAGGAGAGUGUGUGCGUGUGUGUGUGUGUGUGUACGUAUUUUUAAGGGAAUAUUGCUAAAUAACAGAUCUAUGUGUUUUAUUAUCAGGCUCUAAAUUAAUCACCAGUCUCUAUUUAUGAGGAAGCAAAAAGUUCAGAUUAAAAAAAAUUUGGGGGGGGGGGCGCGCCUGGGUGGCUCAGUGGGUAAAGCGUCCGACUUCCGCUCAGGUCAUGAUCUCGCGGUUUGUGAGUUCGAGCCCGGCGUCGGGCUCUGUGCUGACAGCUCAGAGCCUGGAACCUGCUUCGGAUUCUGUGUCUCCCCCCACUCUCUGCCCCUCCCAUGCUCAUGCUCUGUCUGUCUCUGUCUCUCAAAAAUAAAUAAAUGUUAAAAAAAAUUUUUUAAUGUUUAUUUUUGAGAGAGAGAGUGAAACGGAGUGCAAACUGAGGAGGGGUAGAGAGAGAGGGAGACACAGAGUCGGAUGCAGGCUUCAGGCUCUGAGCUCUCAGCACAAGGCCCUAUGCGCGACUCGAACUCACAAACCGUGAGAUCAUGACCUGAGCCGAAGUCAGCAGCUUAACCGACUGAGCCACCCAGGGGCCCCCAAAGCUCAAACUUUAAAAAACUAAAUAUCAGUAGGAUUUUUUUUUUUUAAACUCAAG